GGGGAGGGAUGGCGGGAGGAUACUGCUUAGGUGCUGGAGACGGAGUUGAGCUGGUGAAGAAGAGCUCGGGCUCAUCAUGAAACAACGAAAAGGCCAAGGGUCUGGGGGCAGCCGUGGGCGCAAAAAAAGAGGUUUAAGUGACAUUUCUCCAUCUACAAGCCUGCCACCUCUGGUUGAAGGCCAGCUACGCUGUUUUCUAAAACUUACUGUUAAUAGAGUCAUAUGGAAGAUUGCAAAGCCUCCCACUUGUGUACUUGUCCGAGUGAGAUGGUGGGGAGAAACAUCAGAUGGAACCCUCUUUUGUCCCAGGGAUGCAUUGCAGACUGAACCAAAAGCUGUGAGAACAACUACACGUUACGCUAUUCGUUGUGGUCCAAAACAGUUUACCUCUUAUCUAACAGGUAUGUUAUUGUUUUAUCAUUGCACCUGCAGACGUAAUACAAAGCAUGUGGUUAUAUUGUCAGCAAUAAGUGUUGUUGUGUACCUAGCAUAUAUGGGCAUUCUUAAUUAUUGAAGAGUCAAAGAGUUUUUAUAGUAGACAUUUUUCUUUGUAAAUUUAUUGAGUGUUACUGUGUGCCAGCAGUUUUGAAAUGUAUUACUUCUAAUCCUUACAAUAACCCUGAAAGAUAGGUAUUUUCUCUGUUUUAUAGACAAUUAAACAAGUUGGAGAGAUGAAAUGAAUACUUUCUAAGGUCACAAAGUUGAUAAAUGGCUGAAUUAGGAUUUGAACC
rnacentral:lncRNA from 1 species